rnacentral:ribozyme from 1 species
GUAAAUACGUAAAUAUCGAGUUAGCAAUGCUAUCAUCAUAACGAUUUCGUAUUUGGGGCUGUGGCUCAGAUGGAUAGAGCAAGCGCCUCCUGAAAAAUCGGGCACCCUGCGAGGAAACUCCGGGAGUGAAUGUGGUCAAACUCAAGGAAGCCUAAGUCUGACAGCAGAUAUGGUAAUCUUGAGCCAAGCUUUACCCAACAACGGGUAAAGAAGGUGCAGAGACUGGCUUUAAGGAGCUUAAACAAAUCUCCUUAAACAUACGGCCACCACCUAAAGGCUACAAGUCUACGGUGAAGGAAUAGUCCAGAGAGUGGGGAAACUCACAC